rnacentral:rRNA from 1 species
GACGAACGCUGGCGGCGUGCUUAACACAUGCAAGUCGAACGGAAAGGCCCUUUCGGGGGUACUCGAGUGGCGAACGGGUGAGUAACACGUGGGUGAUCUGCCCUGCACUUUGGGAUAAGCCUGGGAAACUGGGUCUAAUACCGGAUAGGACUACGCGAUGCAUGUCGUGUGGUGGAAAGCUUUUGCGGUGUGGGAUGGGCCCGCGGCCUAUCAGCUUGUUGGUGGGGUGAUGGCCUACCAAGGCGACGACGGGUAGCCGGCCUGAGAGGGUGUCCGGCCACACUGGGACUGAGAUACGGCCCAGACUCCUACGGGAGGCAGCAGUGGGGAAUAUUGCACAAUGGGCGCAAGCCUGAUGCAGCGACGCCGCGUGAGGGAUGACGGCCUUCGGGUUGUAAACCCCUUUCAAUAGGGACGAAGCGCAAGUGACGGUACCUAUAGAAGAAGCACCGGCCAACUACGUGCCAGCAGCCGCGGUAACAC